UUGUCAUUUCAGGUAACUAUGGUGGUGGUGGGAACUAUAAUGACUUUGGAAAUUAUAGUGGACAGCAACAAUCUAAUUAUGGACCCAUGAAGGGGGGCAGUUUUGGUGGAAGAAGCUCAGGCAGUCCCUAUGGUGGUGGCUAUGGAUCUGGAGGUGGAAGUGGUGGAUAUGGUAGCAGAAGGUUUUAAAAUAAAACAAACGGUAGGUAUCUUUACAUUUUUAAAAAUCAUGAUAAAAAAUAUAUGGAAUUGUUCACUGAGUGUAAUAAUUUUUUUAUCCUGUAUUAUUCAACAGGCUACAGUUCUUAGCAGGAGAGAGAGCGAGGAGUUGUCAGGAAAGCUGCAGGUUACUUUGAGACAGUCGUCCUAAAUGCAUUAGAGGAACUGUAAAAAUCUGCCACAGAAGGAACGAUGAUCCAUAGUCAGAAAAGUUACUGCAGCUUAAACAGGAAGCCCUUCUUGUUCAGGACUGUCAUAGCCACAGUUUGCAAAAGUGCAGCUAUCGAUUAAUGCAAUGUAGUGUCAAUUAGAUGUACAUUCCUGAGGUCUUUUAUCUGUUGUAGCUUUGUCUUUUUCUUUUUCUUUUCAUUACAUCAGGUAUAUUGCCCUGUAAAUUGUGGUAGUGGUACCAGGAAUAAAAAAUUAAGGAAUUUUUAACUUUUCAAUAUUUGUGUAGUUCAGUUUUUCUACAUUUUAGUACAGAAACUUUAACAAAAUGCAGUUUUGAAGGUGUUUCCUUGUGAGUUAACAAGUAAAGAAGAUCAUUGUUAAUCACUAUUUUGUAUGAAUUUUGCUAAAGUUAACUGUAAAGAAACACCUACUGACUUGCAGUUUAAGGGGAAUCUAUUCUCCCAUUUCCAAAACCAUGAUGACUGGGCGCUGACAUGUGGAGAGAAUAGAUACUUGUAUGUUUGCAAAUGUGUGUUUUAGAUAAUUAGGAUUGGGUAAUAAAAAAUAGCAUAUUUGUGAAUUUAAUAGCAUUAAGAUUACAUUCAAAUGAAAAAGAUCUCAAAAUUUGCUGUUUGGUUUUGUGCAUUUUCUUUCAAAAUGUAAUCAUGAUUUUAGUGUGGUAGACUUAAGUCCUAACCAUGUUUAAGAACAUCUCCAUUCCACAUUUACCUUGAUAACAUUGAAACUGCUGCCAAUAGUUUGGGGUAUGAAGUGUUUAUACUGCCCUCUACUUCCCAAGGGCGGUAGAUGAAUGCCAUCUCCCUAUUUAACAGCCUUUUAAUAUAGAACCACCAAGUCUGCUGUGUCUGAGCAGACUGUGGUGGGUACCUGGUUUGUUUCUGCUUUUAAGAUUUAAGGUCUCAAAGCCCCAUUGGUCUAGUCAACUUUCCUUGGUUACGUUCCCCACACACAGCUUUUCAGAGCAAAGGAAUAAAAAUCACUGGUUUGAACCCCUGACUGGCUGGCAUGCUUUCCUGUUCAUAUUCUAGCCAUUUUGCUGGAUGGUGAAGCAAAGUAUAGUAAGGUGUCGUCUAAACCAAGCAGCAGAAGAUGUAGCACACACAGUUGCUCAGUGCAAGCACCUCACUUCCCAAAUAUCUCAAUUCAAAUUCAGAACGUCUUGAGUCCUUAAAUCCCCAAAGAACACAUGGUUAUUCUUGUAUAUAUAUCAUUCUAAAACAUGUUGGGUGUGACAAUUUGGAGAACCUGUUUGAGGAGCUUUAGAUACUAAGGUGGUCAUAUACAUGAAAAAAAAAUGUCUGCUGUUGCGCCAGCUAGUGCUUAACAAUUUCAUUCAAGUCCUAAGUAUGUGCCCUGCUGUUACUUUCUUUGGCAGUUGACCGUUGAAUUCAGAUUUUUACUUGGUUUUUAAAGUAUAAGCUAAACAAGCAAUAAAAAGGGGAAUGGGGUGUGCUAGUAUUUCAAUAUGCUCUCUUGUUGCUCUACUGUGCCUCUGUGCAUUAAUAUUUGGAUGCAUGCAAUGCUAGCAUGGAACUUUGGUCUUCACAAAUACUGCAGUUUUUCCAGAAAACACUCACAAACCAAUAAAUGUAACAGACAACAUUCCAUUUGUUAAUGGGCAUAUGUGCAUAAGCAGUGUAGAAAAUAGGCUCAUGUUAGAAACUGGUUACAUCCUUCAUAACUAAAAGUGUGGUUAUUUGAAUGGACACUGUCAAUGUUCAUAGCUUAAACCUGGGUACCUGGUCAAAAUGCUUAGGAAACAUUAAAAUUGAGCUAAAUUGUCUCAAGUCCUUUUAUUCAUAUAAUAAAGAUGGAAGAAAUGGGAUGGGGGAGGCUGGCAGUUCCUGCUUUGUUUGUGAAAUUGUUGGGCACAACCUUGACAGUAUCCUUAAAUGUAAUGAGGUCAAUUGUAUUAACCAACUUUUUAUGUUCUGGAACUAGUAUCAUAGUGAAACCUUUUUCAGUAAGUUGAUGUUUACAACCUAUAAUCAGGUGAAACCUGUAUGUGGCCUGUUUAUAAGUUGUACUAAGUUAGUUUUUGUGAACAGUGUGGAAGAGUAAGCCAUGAGAGCGAUUUAACCAGCUUUAAAGGACCUAAGUUGUGCUUUUUAAGCACUGGAUCAAAGGAAAACCCACUAAGACAGGACUUCAGCAGCCAAUUGAGUAUGGACAAGUCAGCAUAAAUAAAGAAUGAGAAGGCAGCAGCAAGAGCUUCAACAACAGAGAAGUGGAGGCAUAAGAUACUAUGGUGAUAGUGAGCAACUUCCCAAAAGCUAGUUAAAGCUGCUUAUUACAACUGAAUGUCGAAGAAAGUAGCAGGAAGGAGCUCCGCCAUUUGGAACAUCAAUGAGCUAGUUGCCACAGGCACUAGGUCUAGCGUUUAGACCUGCAAGGAAGGGCAAUAAGCAUUAGGUAAGGCUUGAAUUUGAUUUUUUUUUCACUAAUUAAAGAAUACUUUUUGUAAAGCAAGGUAAGAGUAAUCUUUUUGAUUUGCAGGUGAAUGAGAACCCUACCUGCCUAACUGAGGAAUGUCUUUCCCACCACCUUAAAUACGAAGGUUUCUGGCUGGGUAAGGUUUGUAGCUCACAGUAAAAACCGAUGACCGUUGGUUUCCCUACAAAUUAAUGGGACAGUUUGAGACAUUACCCCUCAAGCUCAGUUUUAUUUGGUACCCCAUAGAACAAGUUCUAAGCCUUAGGCAGUUAUACCAUGCCAAGGGUAUUUGUCAUGAGCCAGAUGUGUUCUCUUCAUAUGUACAACUUGCUGUUCCAAGGGAAAGGCAGCUUUCCAUAACGGAAAGUCAUGUUGGCUUUUCAGAAAGUAAUUUUUGGUGUAUGACUUUAUAAUGAGCUGCUAGUUUCCCUAGUUCCACCCUAGGAAAGCAAGGAACUUUCACAAUUGUCAAAAUGUCUUCCUCAAAGUUCUCUAGCUUAAAAGUUUACUAUUGCAUGGACCAGCAGGGACAGUCAGUUUAGUUAUGUGUUUUUAGUCUUCCCCAAAACCCAUCACACCAACAGUCUGGUCUCACUGUUGUCCUAGCUUGGAACUCAGUCCACCAGCCUUCUGUCACCCAAGUGCUGGGAUUAAAGGGUGGUGCCUAUAUGACAACUCAUUCCUUUAAAAAAAAAAAUCCAAAGAACGGCUGGGUUACUAUUAAAAUGUGUUGCUGAUUGUCCAAAAGGGCUAUUUCUGCUGCCCUGAAAGGGCUUCUUUGAAAAUUGCUUAAUUCAGGUUACUUUUUAAUAGAAUAUUUUCAGGGGACAAAUCUGCAAAAUGUUUCCUUCACAGGGAUACCCUGCAUUGCAUCAACAAGUUUGUGUGGCAUUUAAGUCAGGAUGAAUUCACAGAAAUAGGUAGCAAUCUUUCAGUGGUGGUUACUUAAUAGAUUUAGAAAAAUAAAUACGUUAUCUUAAAAGGCAUUUACAGUUCAUUUCCUUUCUGAAAUAAAAUUAUUUUACUUAAUAUGGUUCCACUGUCAUUUCUGCAAAAAUCGUUGGUAGCAACGGUGAACAAGAAAACAAACGAAGGCUGACUUUGGUUUUGUUGGACUUGUGGGAUACUGCUUCCAGUUUAUGUCUGAAAGCUGUGUUCACAUUCAUGUUGAAAUUAGGGAACACAUGGAGAAAAAGUUCUGGUAGGGGACUACAGCGAGUUCAACUUGGUUUUUAUGAGUUCUGUCACGAUUUAAAACGCCUGACAACGGUACGGUGAUUGGCAUGGUAGCAAGCAUGCAGAUAUGCAAGGUGCUGUGAGGAUCGGUAGCCUGUCCAAGUAUUCAGUUUUGAAGCUAACAUGUUUUCAGAUCUUUAUGACAGCAGAGGUGGUCUGUAAUUCAAUUGUUUCAUUUGUAGCAUAAUGAAAUGUUACAGAAAGAUGACCUUUUCAUUAAAAUAUUUUUAGAAAUGUG
rnacentral:lncRNA from 1 species